rnacentral:rRNA from 1 species
CAUGCAGUCGACGGAAGGCCCGCUUGCGGGUACUCGAGUGGCGAACGGGUGAGUAACACGUGGGUAACCUGCCCCCAUCUCUGGGAUAACCGUUGGAAACGGCGGCUAAUACCGGAUACGACCACCUUCCGCAUGGUUGGUGGUGGAAAGUUUUUGCGGUUGGGGAGGGGCCCGCGGCCUAUCAGCUUGUUGGUGCGGUAGUGGCGCACCAAGGCUUUGACGGGUAGCCGGCCUGAGAGGGCGGUCGGUCACAUUGGGACUGAGAUACGGCCCARACUCCUACGGGAGGCAGCAGUGGGGAAUUUUGCACAAUGGGCGCAAGCCUGAUGCAGCGACGCCGCGUGAGGGAUGACGGCUUUCGGGUUGUAAACCUCUUUUAUCCACCACGAAGGCCAGGUAUUCGCCUGGUUGACGGUAGUGGUUGAAUAAGCGCCGGCUAACUACGUGCCAKCAGCCGCGGUAAGACGUAGGGCGCGAGCGUUGUCCGGAUUUAUUGGGCGUAAAGGGCUCGUAGGCSGUUGAUUGCKUCCGCCGUGAAAGGCCUCGGCUUAACCGGGGUUUUGCGGUGGAUACGGGUCGACUUGAGGCAAUUAGGGGAGAUCGGAAUUCUACGUGUAGCGGUGAAAUGCGCAGAUAUGUGGAGGAACACCGGUGGCGAAGGCGGAUCUCUGGGAUUGUUCUGACGCUGASGAGCGAAAGCGUGRGGAGCGAACAGGAUUAGAUACCCUGGUAGUCCAUGCUGUAACGGUGGGYGCUAGGUGUGGGGUCACGUUGGUUGAUUCUGUGYCRUAGCUAACGCAUUAAGCGGCCCSGCCUGGRSGAGUACGGCMGCAUGGCUAWACUCAAAGGAAUCGACRGGGCCYGCACAAGCGKCGGASAUGCGAUAAUCGAUGCACGMKAAGUACUAACUAGCUUGACAUCASCGGUACUCUAGAGAUAG